rnacentral:RNase_P_RNA from 3 species
UGGAGUGGGCGCAUGAUCGCCGGUUGUGCAAACAGCCGGAGGAAAGUCCGAACACCGCAGGGCAGAGUGGUUCGUAACACGAACUGGGGGUGACCCCGAGGAAAGUGCCACAGAAAACAGACCGCCGCUCCGGACUUGUUCCGAAACGGUAAGGGUGAAACGGCGAGGUAAGAGCUCACCGCCUCCAUGGCGACAUGGAGGGCACGGCAAACCCCACUCGGUGCAAGACCAAAUAGGGAAACGCUUAAGGGCUGCCCGUCCAAAGUUUCCGGGUAGGUUGCUUGAGGUGCCGGGCGACCGGCAUCCCAGAGAAAUGAUCAUGGCCCCGCAAGGGGUACGGAAUUCGGCUUACAGCCCACUCCAAUUU